UUUAGGAGCCAUACCAGUCUGAAAGUGCCUGAGCUCGUCAGAUCUCAGAAGUCAUCCAGACUCGGGCCUGGUUAGUUGCAAGCU